UAGAUGCAGUUUUACAGAAGAUCAGAGUUUCAUCCUUACUUCAUCUCUGAAAUCCAACUCAUCACACCUGAGAGAGCUGGACGUCAGUGAGAAUAAAAUGUACAACACAGGAGUGUAUCAAUUACGUGAUAUACUGAAGGAUUCACAAUGUAACCUGGAGAGGCUGAGGUUGAGAUGCUGUGAUUUGACAGAUGAAGGUUGUUGUGCCCUGACUUCAGCUCUGAAAUCAAACCCAUCACAUCUGAGAGAGCUGGACCUGAGUAUGAAUGAACUAGGGAGUUUCUGGAGUUGAAAACAUCUGUGAUCUACUGAUGAACCCACAAUGCAAGCUGGAGAAACUAUAUCUGCGUGGAUGCAGCAUUACAGAGGAACAGUGUCUCAUCCUGACUUCAGCUCUGAAAUCAAACCCAUCACACCUGAGAGAGCUGGACCUGAGUAUGAAUAAAAUAAAAAAACACAGGAGUGAAUCACUUAUGUAAUGUAUUGAAGGAUUCACACUUUAAACUGGAGAGAUUGAGUCUAAAUGACUGUGCCAUUACAGAUGUUUCUUCUUUAACUCAGUCUUUGACAAACAAAAAAGCACUGCAGUUUUUAAAAGAGCUUGAUCUGAAAAACAAUAACAUACAAGACUCAGAGAAGCAGCUCAUUGAUGUGCUGCGAGACUCAAACUGUAAAUUGAGACUAGAGAGAGAUUGCUUGUUUCCCAGGUGGAUGUCGACCAGGACCAGUAACAAGAACCAGUAAUGAUCAGGUGAGGAUCCACAGAAGAGUCUCACUGCUGUGUCUAUGAAGAUUAAUAAAUGUGUGACGUGAUGUCUGUAUUUCCGAAUAUAGAAUGAGUGUCAACUGAGAGUAUCUGCACAAGACAAUGAAAAUCUUUGUAGCAGUUUUAGUAUUUAUACAAACAUGCAUUUAUUUGAUAGCAAAUUUA